UCCAGCUUGCACCAACCUCAUCAACUUUCCUGAACACUCCUCGACCACUGGAUCCUCAACUCUGUCUCCUCGCCUAGCAUUAGCCUUACUCACAAUCUCAAUCAAUCAUCUCAUCUUUAAGCCUUUCUGAAAUGGUUAGAAAGGAAUAGCAAGGGUGAGCAACAAUGCUCAGCAAGUAAUAAUAAACAAUGAUAGUUCUGAAAUGAUAUAACAGAAGUUCACGAGUUCAAGAUAUAAGAGGAUUCAACCUGAGUUCAUGAGUUCAUGGUAUUGUAUAGAAUGAUUUACAAUACCUUGCAGCAUUUAAACUGAGAAAUUCAAUCUUUCCAAAGAAUUAUUGAAUUGGACUAUCACAUUUUAAUUAAAACCAAGGUUAGGCAGCUGAUCAGUUCCGCACUAACCCCGAGCAGGCCCCGCCAUGCUCUAUCACUGGAUCCAAGGCACUCAUUGGCCUAACAUGACCACGAAUCUGGUCCACAGGUUUAUAUAAAAACAAUAAUCCAAUUCUCUAAUUCAAUUCAAGAAGCCAAUGUAAAUUAACAGAACAUCAUCAUAAAUAUCAUCAACAACAGAAUAAUUCCAAUUCAAACUUUGAUAAUAAUCUAUUCAUAAAUCAUGAUCCAUCAUUUCAUAAAUCACAGUUCAGGAAAUCCUCAACUAUUCAGUAUCCUCCAUUAUCGGCUAAGCAACUGAAUUUAGCCUGCUAAACCAGCAUGACAAUGGCGGGUUGAAUAAUCAAGAAGAUCCCAAUUCAUUCAAAGCUCUAACUAUCACUGAGCAACACAUGCUUCAAUGACAAUCUGAACUUCGAAUUAAUUUGUAAAACGGAAAUUCUUUAGAAACUUGAAGAUUAGAAAGAAUGGGUCAGAAUACUCGCACUUUCGAACAUUGAAAAGAAAGGUAUGAAUACUUGAAACAUAUACCAAAGGAAUGGAUCAGAAUAUUUGCAAUAUAUCCAAGAGAAAGGUUUAGGAUACUUGCAACACAUAUAGAAAAGAAUGGAUCAGAAUAUGCAAUAUAUCCAAAAGCAGGGUGUAGGAUACUUGCCUUAAAUCUGACUCCCGUCUCACAGCUCAUUCUCAUCUUUCAACUUUCACAAUCUAUGCAUCUCGUAAUCUCUAGACCAUCUCUAGCUAUACUCUAUUCGCCACAUCGCUUCGCUUACUCGAUUCAUCCCUUAUUCGCUUUGCAAUACCAUUCCGACUUCCUGACGUCUUCGAGCGUACACGUCUCGUCCAAAUCCUUUACGAGAAUAAGAUAAUACUAUAGUCACUAAACAAUAUAUCGCAUAUACAUAUCACGUAUAUCGAUACCCACUUAUAUAUCCCUUUAAACUUAUCAGAUACCACGUAACACAUAAGCAUGCUUUGACUCUAACAUAUAGUCAAUCAUAUUCCACAUAACAUAUCACCAAUCAAUUAUCAUAUAAAUCCUUAUCGAAAAUCCGACAUCGUCUCGUCUAUGUAUAAGACUAUCCACCUGUUAUCCUAUCUCAAUCAUUAAUCAACCAACAAAAUCCAAUAACUAUAAUCCAUAUAUUCUUAUCCAAUAUCAAUCAUACGAAUCAUUUAUCACUUCACAAUAUCAAAACUAACACGUACUUCACAUAAUCAUCACUUGAUAGCACUUAGAUCACAUAUUAUCACAUUAUGCAUACUUAUCAACAAUUAUUCACCUUAUAGACUCAGCCAUAUAGUCACAUCAUAUUAAAAUAGACGUUAUAAGCUUCUGUCUCUCUUUCGUUUCACUUGAUUCCGACUUACGGAUCAAAAGUUAUGCUCAAAACAGUUUUCUCACUCUCCUAUCGGCACAUAACACAUCCAACCAAUAGCAGACAACACACAACACAUAAGGUUUCCCAUCCCAAUUGAUAUUAAAUCAAGUCUUGGGUUAAAAAUGAUUUUUCGGGAAUUUUCUGGAAUUUUUAAACAUUUUUCGGAAUUAAAAUCGAUAAAAGAAUCACUUUUCGGAUAAAUAAUCAAGUCCCAAAUACUUGAAAUUGGACUUGAAAUCAUUCAUAAACAAUUGUCGAGCCUUGAACAUAAUUUAGAAAAAUAUUUCAAAGCUCGAAACUAUUUUUCAGAAUUUUUAAAUCAAAAAGAAUAAUUAAAUCCAAUUAAUUAAUCAAUUAAAAUCAAUUAAUAAUUAAUUAAAAUAAUUAAUCAAUUAAUAUUUAAAUUAAUUGACUAAUUAAAAUAAUUAAUUACUAAUUAAAAUUAAUUAACAAACUAAUUUAGAUUUAUUUUUGAAUAAAGAAAUAACUAAAAACUAUUUUUGGAAUUUAAAAAUAAUUAAAUAAAACAAUUUUAGAAAAUUAAAUCAAAAGGUUUAUUUUGUAAACUUUUGAAAGUUUAUACACGGGUACAAACUGUCAAGUUCUAAAACUUCGAGGUCAACCGUGCAAACUUUGAAACUUUGGUGACAGAAGUUCACCACCUUCAUAAGUCUGGGUACCAAACGGCAAUUUGCCACCGCCGGUACCCGACUUCGCCGGAAAGCCACCGGAAAAGGUACCCGACUUCGCCGGAAAGCCACCGGAAAAUGGCAUAACAGCCCAGAACUCAACCAUACACUCCAGAUCAAUAGUUUAACCCACCACCAACUCAUUCCAGUCAUCAAACAAAGCAGCCAUGUACCGAGNCAGGAUCUUAUACAUGACUUCAGAAACAAUUCAUACUCAACAGAACGAUUUUCCGACCAAAAGAUUGAAACUUCCGGCGGCUACAUGAAGAACACGAAGAACAACAAUUCCAACAAUCAAUACUCCUUUUAUAUAUGUUACCGAACUCAGAAUUCAACAUAUUAUAUACCAAAACGACGAGAAAAGCACGUACUAUAACAUGGAAUCAUCAAAACAAUCAAAUAACCACGUUUGCAAAAAUUCAACAUUUAAAAGCAAAUAAUUCGAAUUUUAUAAAAAUAAUCUAAAAUCACCUGUUGAAUCUGCACACAAACGGAUGAUUAAACUAGAUUCUACGCGUCGAUAGCUUCGUUUUGACUAUUCAUACGCCUCCAUCGGAUUCCAAUAACACCUUCAAAUCUUCGUUUGAUUAUGAAGAACACGAAGAACACCGCUCGGUUUCUCUCGGUAUUCGUGCAGAGAAACUGGUGAAAUGAUUUCUACGGUGAAAAUAAGCUCUAGAAAGGUCUAUUUAUAUUUACAAAUAAUUGGUACCCCUUUGGAUCGUAUAUGACAUGAAAAUACGUAUUUAAUAGCUUUCUACUAAUAAAACGGGGUCCAAUCGGUACCGGUUUUCGAGAUAAUCAUCAAAACGGGGCUUUUAAACUCAAUGAUUGGUCUGCGGGUCCCAUU
rnacentral:lncRNA from 1 species